GUGCUCACUUUGGCAGGAUAUACACUACAAUUGGAAUGAUGUGGAGAAGAUUAGCAUGGCCCCUGCACAAAGAUGACAUGCAAAUUGGUGAAGCAUUCCAUAAUUUU